CAACAAGUGAUACCUCAAUCAUAGUGAGGAAGAUCGUGAAGAAAGACUUUCAGCAAGAAGGAGUUUCAACACUAAAGAAGGAGAGAAAGAGAUCCACGUUCAGAUCUUGAUAAUACUCUGCGACAGAAAGGAUACAAGGGUUAGAAAUCUAAACGGAAGGAGUCAUAUUAUUCCGCUGCACCCAAUGUACGGUUUCUAAUACUUUAUAUGUGUUUAUUUCAUAAUCGUUUUAGAAGUUCAUAUUUAGGGUGUUAAUCAACAUACUUGUGAGUAUAUCAAAGAUCCUGGUAAAAAAAUUUCUAACACAAUUUACCCUUAAAGAUUAUAAUUAACAUUAUCUUCCUAUUAUAAAUAUGGCUUAUUGGUGUGAUAGUUGAUGACAAAUUUGUUCUUUUUAAAAACAGAUAUUACUAAUAUUACUAUUUUGUUGACUUCUGGUAUUAUUCUUCCUUUUUCUUCUAUAUUAAUAAUGUCACCAUUUUGUUGACUAAUUCAACCAAGUCAGCUCCCAUAAACUUUAUUCUCUUUCUCUUCUUACUCCCAAUCUAUUUCUCUGUAACUACAGCUCGUCCUCACAUUACGUUGGUGAUGAUGAGUUUGGGUUAUUCAACCACAACCUUUAUCUACACUUAGUAUUAUUAUUUUUGUUCUAUGAAGAGUAUAUAUGUAUUUGGAAUGGAUUUGAAUGGUGUGGUGUUGUAAAUCUUCAGCUUCGACAUGAACAUCUCUGGAUUGAUUUAGAUGUUAAUACCAGGUAUGUUUAUUGAUUUCAAAAUCCCCAAUUUCUUUACCUCACUUUCUCUCUAUCUGUAUAUAAAAAUGUGAGAUGCCUAAUUUAUUUCUUUUUUUUCAAUUUUUUUUUUCAUAAAUAAAAUUUACAACCAGUUACUAUUUUGAAGAAAUUUAUCUUCCUUUACACAUAUUUUAAUUUCAGCUUUUUAUUUUUGAAUUUCUUGGACUGAUGCAUGUUUAAUAAUUUUUCCCUUAAAAGAAAAAGCUAAAAAAAAUAUAGAUAAUUUCUGGGGUUUUUUUUUAAUAAAGAAAAACAAAAAAUAUACAACUAUUUGUUAAUUUAUCUAUAUUUAGCUUACUCAUCAAAUACGUGUUACAAUGCUAAAUUUUUUAUUUUUCAUAUUAUCGAUUUUUCAUAAUUUCUGAAUAUCUCUUAGUAGAAUUUUCAAAGUAUUUGAAGAUAAAUUUUUGAUUUUAUCUUAUAUUUUGCUACGUGUUGAACUAAUUGAUAUAUUAGUGCUGAGUCAUUACACAUACGUGUUAUAUGAUUUGUGAGAUUGAGAGUUAUCCUAUCUUUAAAGGUUAGUAUAAGUAUACUAUUCUAACAUGAUCAAACUUAUCAAAUAAACAGUUUUAAGAAGUGGAACUUUGCUGUAGAAUACGUAAUUGCUUCUCUAAUUUUACUUCUUCAAACUCUCAGGUUUGGUUUACUGAGUCAUUAUAUAGACUUGUUUUGUUGUAUACUUAAGUCAUGCUUUCAUGUAUAUAUGAUUUUAUUUAGAGAAAUUUAUUAUUAUGUAUUUAAGUUUUAUGCUUUGAUGGGUAUAUAUGUGUAUGUUCUCGGUUUCUGAUUGAAUCUUUGUGAAUCUUUUUGGGUCUUUCUUUCUUAUUUAUAUACUCUUAUAGUUGCAUUUGUGAGUCUCAACAUCUCUUUCUUUGUUUUCUUUUCCUUUUUUGUAGACACGUUUUAACUCUGUUUUGGUGGGUUUGACUUAAAAAAUUCUUUCACACAUUUAGAGGUCAGUUUUUUGAAUUGUAAAACAUAUUUACAAUAAUUGGUUAUCUCGUUUUAUUCCAAUUAUUGUUAAAGAUUUUAAAUUUUGGCUUUAAGGGGUUUGAAAAAGUAUUCUUGAACUCAAUCUUAUCUUUUGUUUUGACUCAUAUAGUUUAAACAAAUGAAUAUAUUGCACUAAAAUAAUCAACCCAAUGUUUUAAGAAUAUGAUAUAUGGGGCUUAAUUUUAAAAUUUUAUAUAUUAUUUAAACUUUUCUUCGACGACUUGAUUUUUGGUUUAAGAAAUGAAUUAUUUAUAUUUGAUUCUAAAAUAGUAUAUAUACCUCUGCUGCUACCUUUUUUUUCUUUCUCUUUUAAGUAGAAAAUUUGACUUUCUAUCCAUAGAUUGGUGUCGAUGCACAUGUACCUUUUUUUUUAUUGAAUUUUCAUUUUUCCAAUUUAGAUUUAUAAAAAUUAUUGACAUAUUAAAAUUAGGGUGAGUGCUUCUAGGUUGUGCCUUGGACAAACGAAAGAAUACUUAAAAGGUUUUAUUGGCAAAGUCAAAAUUAUGUGACACAAAUUGAUGUAAUCGUGUUAUUCUAACAAUCACAUGAUUAAGAUACUUUUAUAAUAGUAAGAAGUAAGAUCUUGUGUAUUUUUGCAUUGAAAAUAAAAAAAAAAUCAUAAAAUUUCUCUAAAUGAUCCUUUCUUGUUGUGAUAUUAAGUUCUUUUUGUUACUCUUUAUAUUUGUACCACCGCUUCAAGGACUAGCAGUA